rnacentral:rRNA from 1 species
UACGACUACAUAUCAGGCAUAUCAAUAAGCGGAGGAAAAGAAACUAACAAGGAUUCCCUUAGUAACGGCGAGUGAAGCGGGAAGAGCUCAAAUUUGAAAUCUUCAAGGUUCUACCUUGACGAAUUGUAGUUUAAAGAAGCGUUUUCUGUUAGAUGAGUAGCAAAAGUUCCUUGGAAUGGGACAUCAUAGAGGGUGAGAAUCCCGUAUUUGGUUAUUCAUUCUAGCUUUGUGAUACACUUUCAAAGAGUCGGAUUGUUUGGGAAUGCAGUCCAAAAUGGGUGGUAAAUUUCAUCUAAAGCUAAAUAUUGGCGAGAGACCGAUAGCGAACAAGUACCGUGAGGGAAUGAUGAAAAGAACUUUGAAAAGAGAGUUAAACAGUACGUGAAAUUGUCAAAAGGGAAGCGUUUGACACCAGUGUUGUUUAGUUGAAAAUCAAUUCAAUAGUUUUUGAUUCUAAGUAGUAUUGACUUCAUCAGCUUGCUGCUUUCUUCUCAGAAAUUAUUGAAUGCACUUUUCAGUUAACAAGUCAACAUCAAUUUCUUUUGUUGUAAAAGGGUAAGAGGAAGGUGGCUUACGCUUCGGCGUAAGUGUUUAUAGCCUUUUACCUCUGCAAUUGGAGAGAUUGAGGUACAUGCAGCGUAGACUCCUUCGGGGUUAGAUACACUUGUGCUAAGCUAUAGCCUUGUAUAGACAACUUGUUGACUAUGCUCAGUCAUGUAGCUUACUCGCUGAUGCUAUUUUACCUACGCUUAGGAUGUUGAGUAGCGACAUACGCAC